rnacentral:rRNA from 1 species
CCUACGGGAGGCAGCAGUGAGGAAUAUUGGUCAAUGGCCGAGAGGCUGAACCAGCCAAGUCGCGUGAGGGAUGACGGCCCUACGGGUUGUAAACCUCUUUUGUCGGGGAGCAAAGAGAGUCACGUGUGGCUCAUUGAGAGUACCCGAAGAAAAAGCAUCGGCUAACUCCGUGCCAGCAGCCGCGGUAAUACGGAGGAUGCGAGCGUUAUCCGGAUUUACUGGGUGUAAAGGGCGUGCAGCCGGGAAGACAAGUCAGAUGUGAAAUCCAGCGGCUCAACCGCGGAACUGCAAUUGAAACUGUUUUUCUUGAGUACCGGAGAGGUCAUCGGAAUUCCUUGUGUAGCGGUGAAAUGCGUAGAUAUAAGGAAGAACACCAGUGGCGAAGGCAGAUGACUGGACGGCAACUGACGGUGAGGCGCGAAAGCGUGGGGAGCAAACAGGAUUAGAUACCCGAGUAGUC